GCAAUGGUUCACCCUAUUACCCUAGGUAAUAUGUAAAUUCUAGGCUGUUUGUAAUCCUUGAGAACUGGUGGUUUGAGAACCACUGAGCUAGGGUAUGCAUUCAAAAAAAUCUGGUUGUAAUUCACAGGGACUUCAUGAAUUCUACCAGAUCAUUCAGCACAUUCAACUUUAAACAAAAUAGAAAGUCCACUGUGACCUGUUAGUACAUCUAAAAUAGACAAGAGCCACAAUUUACUUCCACACUUGAGGAGUCUUUUGCAGAAGAUCUAUAUUUCUAUUGAAGGUGAUGGUAACUCAAACUCAACUCAACGAGGCUUUGAAGUAAUCUACAUAUAUUGGAUUCACCCAACUAUAUUGGCAACGUUGUAUGCUUCCUAGCUGCCUUUACAAAUGGGCUAUGUAAAGUGAUGUUAGAAUGUGAAUGCAAUUGUCAUCCCUGG